rnacentral:rRNA from 1 species
UACGGGGGGGGCAAGCGUUGUUCGGAAUUACUGGGCGUAAAGGGCUCGUAGGUGGCCAACUAAGUCAGACGUGAAAUCCCUCGGCUUAACCGGGGAACUGCGUCUGAUACUGGAUGGCUUGAGUUUGGGAGAGGGAUGCGGAAUUCCAGGUGUAGCGGUGAAAUGCGUAGAUAUCUGGAGGAACACCGGUGGCGAAGGCGGCAUCCUGGACCAAGACUGACACUGAAAAGCGAAAGCCAGGGGAGCAAACGGG